rnacentral:rRNA from 1 species
AUGUUAAACUGGGUUGAGAUAUGUAUGCAACGCAGGUACUGUUCACUGCUGCAACCAAACACGCCCAUAGCAAAUACGGAGUACCAAAUAGCAAAGAUGAAAUCGGCGAAACCCCUGCUUGCAUCGUCAAAAUAUCUCGAUCGGAAUACUUACGACGUGACCACUUUACUCUGGCCCCACCAUCUCCUCGUUAUUCUCCACCCCCAAACCCGCGGAAACCCCAAAUCGCGCGACCUCUGCCAGAAAUCCAUGGGUGGCGGCAGCGGCGACCUCAGCCCCACCGGCAUCCCCGCCUCCCCUUCUUCGUCCUCAUCGGAGCCCCUUCCUCGAGAGUUUGCCGAUUAUGUGCCGGUCUCUGACGGCGACUCCGAAGGGGGUUGCAUCUGCGACGACCCCGAGGUGGAGGCCCUUCUCUACGGCAGCCAAUUUCAGCACCGGUCGCUGCGGGAGGCGAAAGACCUCAUCAGGAGGUAUAAGCCUGGGUACUGGAUUGAAGGAGUUGGCGACACAAAAGCUGGGGAUUAUUUGUUGCCUGAUACCACCACAUUGUUAUUGGCGGGUCCCAGAGGUGCUGGGAAAAGUACACUUGUGAACCGAAUUACACGGGUCUUUGACAAAGAUGACGAUCCGUUUGCACCAGAGCGGGCGCAGGUUUCCUACAAUUCCAAAUCAAAUGGUACAAGCUUCGUCCGGGAGUACAAAAUUCCAAGAAAUUCAAACGGUAUAUGUAUUUGUGAUACAAGAAGCUUGUCCAGAAACCCAGAAAAGGAUUUCAAAAUGCUGCAACGUUGGAUGACGAAGGGAAUUAGUCAUGGGGAGAUGGUGACGUGGGAUACUGAUGAUGACACUAAGAUUAAGAACCUCAAAUCAAUGGGGAGGCAAUACAGUUUUUUGCCUUGCAAAACCAGGAAGGUCAACUUUGUGAUAUUUGUGGUUGAUGGUGUUUCUAUCCUAACAUCAAUUGGAAGUGAUAAGAAAGGAUACAUGGAUAUGCUCCGCGAGACAUUUAUGAAUCCAUUCUUGUCUUUUGGAGAUGACAAGCCUGCUGUUGUGGUUACUCACGGGGAUAGACUAUCAUUUCAACAGCGUUCCCAAGUUCAGAAUGAGUUAGCAGAGACACUUGCCAUUCCACCCCAACAAAUUUUUGAUAUACCAGGUUCUGAUGACUAUGAAACUGAUAUAGCUGUGUUGGAUAUGUUGCGUUACUGUAUCCAACAUGCUGAGCAGAACUUCUCUAUGAAACUGAAGAAUCUUGUAGAGAUGCACGGGCGUGAAACCCUCGCAGAGAUGAUGGCGCGGUUGAUGGGACUAGAUGCAGUCAUGGAUGCCACCAUUGUUUUCCUAUGCGCCAUAGCCCUUCUACUUCGUGUAUCGGAUAACUUACUGUAG